rnacentral:rRNA from 1 species
GAUGAACGCUGGCGGCGUGCCUAAUACAUGCAAGUCGAGCGAAGCGGGGACGGGUGAGUAACCCGUGGAUAACCUCCUAUAAGACUGGGAUAACUUCGGGAAACCGGAGCUAAACCGGUUACUUAUAGAUGGAUCCGCGCUGCAUUGGCUAGUUGGUAAGGUAACGGCUUACCAAGGCAACGAUGCAUAGCCGACCUGAAAGGGUGAGCGGCCACUCAGAAACUGAUACACGGUCCAGACUCCUACGGUAGGCAGCAUUAGGGAAUCUUCCGCAAUGGGCGAAAGCCUGACGGAGCAACGCCGCGUGAGUGAUGAAGUUCUUCGGAUCGUAAAACUCUGUUAUUAGGGAAGCGGUACCUAAUCAGAAAGCCACGGCUAGCUUCGUGCCAGCAGCCGCGGUAAUAC